rnacentral:rRNA from 1 species
GACAGAGGUCCCGAGCGUUAGGCGGAAUCACUGGGCUUAAAGCGUGUGUAGGCGGAUCGUUAAGUACCUUGUGAAAUCCCACGGCUUAACCGUGGAACUGCUUGGUAUACUGGCGGUCUUGAGCCACUUAGGGGCUACCGGAACAAAUGGUGGAGCGGUGAAAUGCGUAGAUAUCAGGAGGAACACCGGUGGCGAAGGCGGUUCUCUGGGCCUUACCUGACGCUGAGGAGCGAAAGCGUGGGGAGCGAACAGG